GUGCUGACAUGUCUCAAACUCCCCCCUUCCUCAGUGAGUGAGCGGUUUGACCUGGUGUUGGCAGUUGAUGGCCCAGUAGACCUGCCUGCGUGCAUUUGAAUGUCAAAGAGCAUCUUGGAGCUGUCACGGCCCGCCUGCCACACAAGAGGAACUUCCCUCCAGUCCUCGGCGUUACCCACAUGGCAAGAGGAUGUGCAGCGGCUGAUGUGGAGGAAAGACAAUCAGCUGAUUCGCCGUGAGUGAACCUGAUGAAUGUCUGUCGUUCAUCUACAACACCUGGUUCUCCGGAGAAUGGACAUUAAAGCUGCCUCCAAGGAUGGAGACAGACGAGAAAAGGGGACUUUCUCUUAGAGCAGUCCAAAGAUGGGACCACCCAGGAUUUGCAUACUUGAGGUCUGUCUCUCUCUUUCCAUCUCUCUCUUUCUCCUCCAAACCAGUCUGUGUGUACUCUCCCGCAGGACCUAGGAGUGGACCGACACCUCUCCGCUGGCCAGAGGGAAGACCAGCGCCUCUCCUGGGCCUCUUUCCAUGUCUCCAAUCAGCCUGCGCUGCCAUGGCCCUAGGGCUGAUGCGAUGUGAUAAUCUCUGCCUUUUGCGUUAUGCAUUGCCCUGAUGAAUUCAUCUUGUGACCACCUGGCACUCGCUGUUAGGAAUUCAAGUGUUGUUUUUGCAGCAGAGGCUGGGGCGAACGCUGUGAGGGACUGUUUUCUGACUGUCAGAGAGACCCUCUUCUCCUCCCUCCCCUUUCUCUUCAUCUCUCCUCCUCCAACAUCGGCAGAAUGUUUUAACCUCUCCGAAGACCCUGGCAUAUCUGCUGUUGUGGUGGCAGGAGUGGGAUUCUUCACCUCAGCAGGACCUGUGUGGGAAAAAGCCCUGCUUAGUAUUUAAAAACGGAAGGGCUUUUUGCUGUAAGACAAAUUGAAACGCAGGAGGCUAGAGAGGAAUGUGGCUGUCAGAGUCAACAGCUGCUAGUUUUUCGCUGUGAAUAAUCACUGAGGUUGACCCAUUGAAGCUGCGGAUUGUGUAACAUACAUUUCACAAAAUUAAAGGUCAAUGCAAACAUAUGGCGUAGCUUGUGCCCCAUAACUUUUGACUUUCUUCAAAGCUGCUUUUGUGACCUCAAUUAAAUUAUGGAAAUAGAAACUUGAGGCAGACAGAAUCACUGUUGUGUUUCGGUGUCAGGCUUUACAAUACAGGUUCAAUCGAAAUAAUAAAUUAAUAGAUGCAUUUUUCA
rnacentral:lncRNA from 1 species